CCACAAGAAAUUAAUCGUCUUGCCUCUGUGUCCUUUAGAAACCAUGCAUAGUAGCAUUUGUCAUCCAUUCUUAUGAUUAUUCAGUUUUGGUUAUUUUGGGAGAAAAACGAAAAUAAAGAGUUGGUGGGGUUUGCCGUUGCUUAGUUUUUAGCUUCCGUUGUUUUAUCUUAUGUACUAUUAUUUGUCUCUUUUUUGUCCUUUUGAUUUUUAGCCAUGGUGUUGUCAGUUUAUUUUCGGUCUAUGAGUUUGACUGUCCCUCUUCUUUAAAUGCCCGCGAUUUUGCGGGUGUGUUAUAGUACUCAUAUUCUAUCACGAUCCUUCAGAUUUCGUUAUACUACACACUCAUAAAAUAUAGACCUCUAAUUUCGUUAUACAACAUACUCAUAAUAUAUAGACCUCCGAUUUCGUUAUACUAUACAUUAU
rnacentral:lncRNA from 1 species